rnacentral:rRNA from 1 species
UACGUAGGUGGCAAGCGUUGUCCGGAAUUACUGGGCGUAAAGGGCGUGUAGGCGGCCUUUUAAGUCAGGCGUGAAAUCCAUGGGCUUAACCCAUGAAUUGCGUUUGAAACUGGAGGGCUUGAGGAUCGGAGAGGGCAGUGGAAUUCCCAGUGUAGCGGUGAAAUGCGUAGAUAUUGGGAGGAACACCAGUGGCGAAGGCGACUGCCUGGACUACACCUGACGCUGAGGCGCGAAAGCUAGGGGAGCAAACGGG